GCCGGGCGUGGUGGCGCGCGCCUGUAGUCCCAGCUACUCGGGAGGCUGAGGUGGGAGGAUCGCUUGAGUCCAGGAGUUCUGGGCUGCAGUGCGCUAUGCCGAUCGGGUGUCCGCACUAAGUUCGGCAUCAAUAUGGUGACCUCCCGGGAGCGGGGGACCACCAGGUUGCCUAAGGAGGGGUGAACCGGCCCAGGUCGGAAACGGAGCAGGUCAAAACUCCCGUGCUGAUCAGUAGUGGGAUCGCGCCUGUGAAUAGCCACUGCACUCCAGCCUGGGCAAUAUAGUGAGACCCUGUCUCUU
rfam:Cavia porcellus supercont2_23 genomic scaffold, whole genome shotgun sequence.